GACGAACGCUGGCGGCGUGCUUAACACAUGCAAGUCGAACGGUGAAGCGCCUUCCUUUUUGGUGGGUGUGGAUGAGUGGCGAACGGGUGAGUAACACGUGAGUAACCUGCCCCCCUCUUCUGGAUAACCGCAUGAAAGUGUGGCUAAUACGGGAUAUUCUGGGUCUGUCGCAUGAUGGGUCUGGGAAAGAUAUUGUUUCGGUGGGGGAUGGGCUCGCGGCCUAUCAGCUUGUUGGUGGGGUGAUGGCCUACCAAGGCGGUGACGGGUAGCCGGCCUGAGAGGGUGGACGGUCACACUGGGACUGAGCCACGGCCCCGACUCCUACGGGAGGCAGCAGUGGGGAAUAUUGCACAAUGGGCGCAAGCCUGAUGCAGCGACGCCGCGUGAGGGAUGGAGGCCUUCGGGUUGUGAACCUCUUUCGCCAGUGAAGCAGGCCUGCCUCGUUUGUGGGUGGGUUGACGGUAGCUGGAUAAGAAGCGCCGGCUAACUACGUG
rnacentral:rRNA from 1 species